GAAAACUAAGUCCAUAAAAACUCAGCAAAGGGGCACCACGAGCCUUCCACUUUAACACAAUCUGCCAAUCUGAAGCCAUCAGAUCCGGGAAGGGAUGUAGGUCGUAAUGUCCUUUGCCAUCCCUGCGAGGGACAGAGCUGGGCGAGGAAAGAUUCCAGAUCAGCUUGGAAGUGUCUCCUGGCUGCCUACAGACACCCGGGUAUCGCAAGGCGCCCAGAUGCUCUGGGGCUGUCAUUGACAGCUAGGCUUUCUCUUGUGACCGCGGCAGCUCCCGAGCACUCGCAGGCCUCACACGCAGCCUAAGAGUGCGGAGUGAAGCUCGCUAUGCUUCGCGCGUGCGCCUUCCUGGGCCGGGGUGACCCGGAAGCACUAGCUCGUAAGUUGCCGGGAUGCUGUGAGCACGGGGACUUAUGAGCAGGUCGCGUCACUGCAGCUGCGAGCGCUGCGUUUCGGAUUUCGGCAAUAGCUUCCGACCCCGGGCUUGAGUCCUAAGCUGCGGACUCGCCUCCCCAGUGGGCAUCUCGCAGGCCAGCCAGAUGCUGCUUUGGGGCGGAGUUGGACUUUUUAUUUUUUUGUUGUUGUUGACGCUUAUUAUCUUUUGGAAAAACAGGCAUAGAUCCCCAUUCUCGGGACUUCCCAGAUGUUGCUGCAACUGGGGGAUUAGAGGAAUGGUGCACCCUGGGACCCAGGUGGUGCCUUCGAAGUCCAGGGUGUUCCUCGAUUUUAACCAGGGAAUUACCGAAAUGGAGGGUUUUUUCCCCACUGGGGCAUUUGGCUUUUCAGAUUUUGUAAACCUGCUUUCCCUUGUUCCUCCCACCAACAAAUUAUAUAUAUUAUUUAUAUGUUAUAUAUAACGUAUUACAUAUAUGUAUUAUAUAUAUGAUUACACAUAAUAUGUAUCAUUAUAGGAAGAGUAGAAAUAACUGGAUUUUAAAGUCACCCACAAUCCUGUGUCCAAAAAGACAAUAUUAAAUUUUGGUUUUACAUUUUAUUUUCUAGUAUCUUAUUUUUGCAUGUGUGUAUAUGCGGGGUUUUCUUUAAAAAAAAAAAAAACAAAUUAGGCCGGGUGCGGCGGCUCACGCCUGUAAUCUCACCACUUUGGGAGGCCAAGGUGGGUGGAUCACCUGAGGUCAGGAGUUCGAGACCAGCCUGGCCAACAUGGUGAAACCCUGUCUGUACCAAAAAUACAAAAAAUUAGCCAGGUGUGGUGGCAGGCGCCUGUAAUCCCAGCUCCUCGGGAGGCUGAGGCAGGAGAAUCGCUUGAACCCGGAAGGCAGAGGUUGCAGUGAGCCAAGAUCACGCCACUGCACUCUAACCUGGGUGACACAGCGAGACUCCUUCUAAAAAAAGAAAAGGUGCAGCAAUGACUAGCCUUGUGCAUUCAUUUUUCUCCCCCCCAUCUUUAACACUUAUUUCUUUAACAGAAUUAUGGAGCGACUAUAAUUGAAGAUGGAAGUUUCGUGGGAAGGGAUAUUCAACAUAGUUAACAACCAAUAUGACCUGAUCACCAUCCAUUGGAAUAGCCAUAUGUCUAGGGCUGGAAUGGGGUUUUAGAAGCCUGAUAAAUCAGCAAUUCACACUUUAGCCAGGAAUCAGGGGGAGGUCAGAAACAUCCUAGGGAAAUGGGAAGGGCAAUGAAAGAACAUUUCAGAGGGUAUCAGAGAAUUUUACUAUUCUAACACCCAUUUAGUUAAACGUGUAUAAUAAUCAUCAGCCCAAUUUGUAUGUUUGCUAUUGAAAAGAUAAGGAUUAUAAUCUGAUUAUCUUGUCCUCUUGUGUCCAGAAUUGGUGGGUUCUUGGUCUCACUGACUUCAAGAAUGAAGCCUCGGACCCUCAUGGUGAGUGUUACAGCUCUUAAGAUGGCACGUCUGGAGUUUGUUCCUUCUGAUGUUUGGAUGUGUUGAGAGUUUCUUCCUCCUGGUGGGCUCGUGGUCUCGCUGGCUCAAGAGUGAAGCUGCAGACCUUCGCAGUGAGUGUUACAGCUCUUAAGGCAGUGUGUCUGGAGUUGUUCGUUCCUCCUGGUGGGCUCCUGGUCUUGCUGGCUUCAGGAGUGAAGCUGCAGACUUUCGUGGUGAGUGUUACAGCUCAUAAAAGCAGUGUGGACCCAAAGAGUGAGCAGUAGCAAGAUUUAUUGCAAACAGAAAAAAAAACAAAGCUUCUACAGUAUGUAAAGGAACCAGAGCAGGUUGUCACUGCUUGCUCGGGCAGCCUGCUUUUAUUCUCUUAUCUGGCCCCACCCACAUCCUGCUGAUUGGUCCAUUUUACAGAGAGCUGAGUGGUCUGUUUUGACAGGGUGCUGAUUGGUGCAUUUACAAUCCCUGAGCUAGACACAAAGUUUCUCCACCUCCCCACUAGAUUAGCUAGGUACAUCCACACAAAGGUUCUCCAAGUCCCCCUGAGCUAGACAUAAAGGUUCUCCGCGUCCCCACCAGACUCAGGAGCCCAGCGGGCUUCAUCCAGUGGAUCCCGUACCCGGGUUGCAGGUGGAGCUGCUUGCCAGUCCCCCGCCGUGUGCCCGCACUCCUCAGCCCUUGGGUGGUCGAUGGGACUGGGAGCCGUGGAGUAGGGGGUGGCGCUUGUCGGGGAGGCUCAGGCUGCACAGGAGCCACGGAAGCGGGGAGGGGAGGCUCAGGCAUGGCGGGCUGCAGGUCCCGCGCCUUGCCCCGCGGGAAGGCAGCUAAGGCCCGGCGAGAAAUUGAGCACAGCAGCUGCUGGCCCAGGUGCUAAGCCCCUCACUGCCCCGGGCCGGCGGGGCGGGCAGGCAGGCCGCUCAGAGCGCAGGGUCCGCCGAGCCCACGCCCACCCGGAACUCACGCUGGUCCGCAAGCACCGCGCGCAGCCCGGGUUCCCGCCUGCGCCUCUCCCUCCACACCUCCCCGCAAGCUGAGGGAGCGGGCUCCGGCCUUGGCCAGCCCAGAAAGGGGCUCCCACAGUGCAGCGGCGGGCUGAAGGGCUCCACAAGUGCUGCCAAAGUGGGACCCCAGGCAGAGGAGGCGCCGAGAGCGAGCCAGGGCUGUGAGGACUGCCAGCACGCUGUCACCUCUCACUGUGAAAUUGGAGGAAAACUCAUCUGUUGAAGUCAAGGAGGAAGGUAGAAUGAUCAGAGUUUUGAAGAAGUGUUCAAAUAAUUAAUUGCUGGGAGUCCUAAGACAUUACGGAAGUAUGGUACAUUUGUUGGGCUGUAUUGAAGACACAACUAAGGUAUGGGAUAAUUAAUUCUUAGUGGUCUAAAGCUUGUGUUGACUAAAUUGUUUGUUUUCCAGGUAGUGUUCAACUUUUCUCUGGAAAAAAAAAAGCUGAAAACAAAUAAUUGGCUUUGUGUAGUGUUUGGUUUCUCCAGAUGAAUAGGCUGAAAGAGCAGAUGUACAAGAGACUUCGUGGUAUUGGCAAGAGAGUGAUUGACACAAAAGAUCAUGAACUCUAAAGUGAACAAUGAAGAGAGUAAAGAGAAAAGAGUCCUUAAAGUUAGCGAGAAAAUAUAAGGGCCAAUGCAAGGUUAAGAUUUCCUUGAAGAAUGUCUAGGUGGAAACAGUUAAAUGAGGAAUCUGGCAAGAGAGAUUGUGACCCAAGAGUGGGGUGAAAUUGGGAAAAUUUAAGUAUUAAUAUCAGGAUGUGACUGUGGUGUGGUAGAUGAAGUGGAAUGGAGGAAAAGGAUAUGAGAGAUGAAGAUUUUUAUAACUGAGAGGCCAAGCAAUGGACAGAUAUGCCACAUGAACCUAAUUAGGACUUUAAAAAGACCAUCCAGGAUGAUGUUUGGAAUGAGGGUGGAGAGCCAAGUGCUAAGUCUUUAGAGACUAAAAGGGAGUGACCAGGAGGCUGGUAAGAGGACAGAUGUCAGAAGGUGUAUUCUGUUGACAGCAGCCCAAAAACAAUGAUUUAUUGUUUUAAGGAAAGUGGAAGCAAAGAAGAUCCUAUUCUUAUCUGCAGACCCCUGAGGUAGGUAGGAUUUUAGACAAUAAACAGCACUCAUGAGAGGCUGCUAUGGAAGCACUGUCAUUAGCCAAACUGUAAACACGUGUUGAGGGUGAAUAUUGGCUCAUCACCGAAGCUGCAAUUCCAAAGAAUAUGUGGGAAGAAAGGGCUUUGUAGGGCACAUAGGAGUAGGGGUUAGACCAGCAAGAAAGGACACAGUUUUUUUUUGUUUGUUUGUUUUUUUGAGAGGGAGUCUCGCUCUGUCGCCCAGGCUGGAGUGCAGUGGUGCGAUCUCGGCUCACUGCAAGCUCCACCUCCCGGGUUCACACCAUUCUUCUGCCUCAGCCUCCGGAGUAGCUGGGACUACAGGCGUCCACCACCACGCCCGGCUAAUUUUUUGUAUUUUUAGUAGAGACGGGGUUUCACCGUGUUAGCCAGGAUGGUCUUGAUCUCCUGACCUCGUGAUCCACCCGCCUCGGCCUCCCAAAGUGCUGGGAUUACAGGCAUGAGCCACCGUGGAAAGGACACAGUUUUAUGUGGUAAGGAAAUAAUAUAUACAUGUGUCUGUAUCUCCUUCCUGCCUUCUUGACUUCCUGAGUCCAGACUCAGUAUUACAGUUUCCUUCUAGAUUCCGGAAGUCUGUUUUUCAUCAGUUUUAAUUUUAGUUGUGUUGUUUUUGUCGUCUUCAAUGUUUUCAUCAAUUUUUUUGUGUGUAUGUGAAUUUGAGAGGGGCUGCUAGCAGAUGCUAUUUUGAACUG
rnacentral:lncRNA from 1 species